AUUGCUUCUCAGUCUUUUGGCUAAGAUCAAGUGUAGAAUCUGUUCUUAUCAGAUUUACUUCCCUAUGAAAAUCUUUAAGAGGCAAUGUGGUGCAACUCACUUCACUAGAUUUUAGAAUAGUAGACUUAAGUCUUU
rnacentral:snRNA from 2 species